rnacentral:rRNA from 1 species
GUUGUAUGGUUAAGUGACUAAGCGUACACGGUGGAUGCCUUGGCAGUCAGAGGCGAUGAAAGACGUAGUAACUUGCGAUAAGCCCAGAUUAGGUAGUAACAACCAUUUGAGUCUGGGAUUUCUGAAUGGGGAAACCCACUUACAUAAGUAAGUAUCCUUAUCUGAAUACAUAGGGUAAGGAGGCGAACCGGGGGAACUGAAACAUCUAAGUACCCCGAGGAAAAGAAAUCAACCGAGAUUCCGAAAGUAGCGGCGAGCGAAAUUGGACUAGCCCUUAAGCUUUACACGCGUUAGACGAACGGUCUGGAAAGUCCGACGAUACAGGGUGAUAGUCCCGUAGUUGACGACGUGUGUUCAGUGAAAUCGAGUAGGGCGGGACACGUGAUAUCCUGUCUGAAUAUGGGGGGACCAUCCUCCAAGGCUAAAUACUACUGACUGACCGAUAGUGAACCAGUACCGUGAGGGAAAGGCGAAAAGAACCCCUGUGAGGGGAGUGAAAUAGAACCUGAAACCGUGUACGUACAAGCAGUAGGAGCAGGCUUGUCCUGUGACUGCGUACCUUUUGUAUAAUGGGUCAGCGACUUAUAUUCAGUGGCAAGGUUAACCAUCUAGGGGAGCCGUAGGGAAACCGAGUCUUAACUGGGCGUUCAGUCUCUGGAUAUAGACCCGAAACCAGGUGAUCUAGCCAUGGGCAGGUUGAAGGUUGAGUAACAUCAACUGGAGGACCGAACCGACUAAUGUUGAAAAAUUAGCGGAUGACUUGUGGCUAGGGGUGAAAGGCCAAUCAAACCUGGAGAUAGCUGGUUCUCCCCGAAAGCUAUUUAGGUAGCGCCUCGGACGAAUACUACUGGGGGUAGAGCACUGUUAAGGCUAGGGGGUCAUCCCGACUUACCAACCCUUUGCAAACUCCGAAUACCAGUAAGUACUAUCCGGGAGACACACGGCGGGUGCUAACGUCCGUCGUGGAGAGGGAAACAACCCAGACCGCCAGCUAAGGUCCCAAAUUACUACUAAGUGGGAAACGAUGUGGGAAGGCUCAGACAGCCAGGAUGUUGGCUUAGAAGCAGCCAUCAUUUAAAGAAAGCGUAAUAGCUCACUGGUCGAGUCGGCCUGCGCGGAAGAUGUAACGGGGCUAAGUAGUAAACCGAAGCUGCGGCAAUAUACUUUUGUAUAUUGGGUAGGGGAGCGUUCUGUAAGCGGUUGAAGGUGUGUGGUAACGCAUGCUGGACGUAUCAGAAGUGCGAAUGCUGACAUGAGUAACGAUAAAGGGGGUGAAAAACCUCCUCGCCGGAAGACCAAGGGUUCCUGUCCAACGUUAAUCGGGGCAGGGUAAGUCGACCCCUAAGGCGAGGCCGAAAGGCGUAGUCGAUGGGAAACGGGUUAAUAUUCCCGUACUUCUUACAAUUGCGAUGGGGGGACGGAGAAGGCUAGGUGGGCCUGGCGACGGUUGUCCAGGUUCAAGUGCGUAGGCUUAAGAGUUAGGUAAAUCCGGCUCUUUUUAAGGCUGAGACACGACGUCGAGCUACUACGGUAGUGAAGUCAUUGAUGCCAUGCUUCCAGGAAAAGCCUCUAAGCUUCAGAUUGUAAGGAAUCGUACCCCAAACCGACACAGGUGGUCGGGUAGAGAAUACCAAGGCGCUUGAGAGAACUCGGGUGAAGGAACUAGGCAAAAUGGUACCGUAACUUCGGGAGAAGGUACGCUCUUGAUGGUGAAGUCCCUUGCGGAUGGAGCUGACGAGAGUCGCAGAUACCAGGUGGCUGCAACUGUUUAUUAAAAACACAGCACUGUGCAAAAUCGUAAGAUGACGUAUACGGUGUGACGCCUGCCCGGUGCCGGAAGGUUAAUUGAUGGGGUUAGACUUCGGUCGAAGCUCUUGAUCGAAGCCCCGGUAAACGGCGGCCGUAACUAUAACGGUCCUAAGGUAGCGAAAUUCCUUGUCGGGUAAGUUCCGACCUGCACGAAUGGCGUAAUGAUGGCCACGCUGUCUCCACCCGAGACUCAGUGAAAUUGAAAUCGCUGUGAAGAUGCAGUGUACCCGCGGCUAGACGGAAAGACCCCGUGAACCUUUACUACAGCUUGGCACUGAACAUUGACCCUACAUGUGUAGGAUAGGUGGGAGGCUUUGAAGACGGUACGCCAGUAUCGUUGGAGCCGUCCUUGAAAUACCACCCUUGUAGUGUUGAUGUUCUAACGUCGACCCCUUAUCGGGGUUGCGGACAGUGCCUGGUGGGUAGUUUGACUGGGGCGGUCUCCUCCCAAAGAGUAACGGAGGAGCACGAAGGUGGGCUAAUCACGGUUGGACAUCGUGAGGUUAGUGCAAUGGCAUAAGCCCGCUUGACUGCGAGAAUGACAAUUCGAGCAGGUGCGAAAGCAGGUCAUAGUGAUCCGGUGGUUCUGAAUGGAAGGGCCAUCGCUCAACGGAUAAAAGGUACUCCGGGGAUAACAGGCUGAUACCGCCCAAGAGUUCAUAUCGACGGCGGUGUUUGGCACCUCGAUGUCGGCUCAUCACAUCCUGGGGCUGAAGUCGGUCCCAAGGGUAUGGCUGUUCGCCAUUUAAAGUGGUACGCGAGCUGGGUUUAGAACGUCGUGAGACAGUUCGGUCCCUAUCUGCCGUGGGCGUUGGAAGAUUGAAGGGGGCUGCUCCUAGUACGAGAGGACCGGAGUGGACGAACCUCUGGUGUUCGGGUUGUGUCGCCAGACGCAUUGCCCGGUAGCUAAGUUCGGAAUCGAUAACCGCUGAAAGCAUCUAAGCGGGAAGCGAGCCCUGAGAUGAGUCUUCCCUGAUACUUUAAGUAUCCUAAAGGGUUGUCGGAGACUACGACGUUGAUAGGUCAGGUGUGUAAGUGCUGUGAGGCAUUGAGCUAACUGAUACUAAUUGCCCGUGAGGCUUAACCAUACAACACCCAAGGGGUUU